rnacentral:rRNA from 1 species
GACGAACGCUGGCGGCGUGCUUAACACAUGCAAGUCGAACGGAAAGGCCCUGCUUUUGUGGGGUGCUCGAGUGGCGAACGGGUGAGUAACACGUGAGUAACCUGCCCUUGACUUUGGGAUAACUUCAGGAAACUGGGGCGAAUACCGGAUAGGAGCUGCUGCUGCAGGGUGGGGGUUGGAAAGUUUCGGCGGUUGGGGAUGGACUCGCGGCUUAUAAGCUUGUUGGUGGGGUAGUGGCUUACCAAGGCUUUGACGGGUAGCCGGCCUGAGCGGGUGACCGGCCACAUUGGGACUGAGAUACGGCCCAGACUCCUACGGGAGGCAGCAGUGGGGAAUAUUGCACAAUGGGCGGAAGCCUGAUGCAGCAACGCCGCGUGCGGGAUGACGGCCUUCGGGUUGUAAACCGCUUUCGCCUGUGACGAAGCGUGAGUGACGGUAAUGGGUAAAGAAGCACCGGCUAACUACGUG